UACGUAGGGUGCAAGCGUUAAUCGGAAUUACUGGGCGUAAAGGGUGCGCAGGCGGUACGUUAAGUCAGAUGUGAAAUCCCCGGGCUCAACCUGGGAAUGGCAUUUGAAACUGGCGUGCUAGAGUGAAUCAGAGGGGGGUAGAAUUCCACGUGUAGCAGUGAAAUGCGUAGAGAUGUGGAGGAACACCGAUGGCGAAGGCAGCCCCCUGGGAAAUCACUGACGCUCAAGCACGAAAGCGUGGGGAGCAAACAGG
rnacentral:rRNA from 1 species